UACGUAGGUGGCAAGCGUUGGCCGGAAUCACUGGGCGUAAAGCGCGCGCAGGCGGCGAUCUACGUCUGGGGUGAAAGCCCGGAGCUCAACUCCGGGACUGCCUUGGAUACGGGAUCGCUUGAGGAUUGGAGAGGCAAGGGGAAUUCCACGUGUAGCGGUGAAAUGCGUAGAGAUGUGGAGGAACACCUGUGGCGAAGGCGCCUUGCUGGCCAAUUACUGACGCUGAGGCGCGAAAGCGUGGGGAGCGAACAGG
rnacentral:rRNA from 1 species